UACGUAGGGUGCAAGCGUUAAUCGGAAUUACUGGGCGUAAAGCGUGCGCAGGCGGUCCGUUAAGACAGAUGUGAAAUCCCCGGGCUUAACCUGGGAACUGCAUUUGUGACUGGCGGACUCGAGUAUGGCAGAGGGGGUAGAAUUCCACGUGUAGCAGUGAAAUGCGUAGAGAUGUGGGAGGAUACCGAUGGCGAAGGCAGCCCCUGGGCCAAUACUGACGCUCAUGCACGAAAGGCGUGGGGAGCAAA
rnacentral:rRNA from 1 species